CGUGUAGGUGGCUAAUUAAGUCAGGUGUGAAAUCCUUCCGCUUAACGGAAGAAGUGCACUUGAAACUGCUUAGCUAGAGUACGGGAGAGGAAGGUGGAAUUCCUGGUGUAGAGGUGAAAUUCAUAGAUAUCGGGAAGAACACCGGUGGCGGAGGCGGCCUUCUGGCCCGAUACUGACGCUGAGACGCGAAAGCGUGGGGAGCAAACA
rnacentral:rRNA from 1 species